AAAUGAUUUUGUAUUUACUGGAAAAAUUUUUAAAUUAUCAAUAUUAGAUCAAGAAAUGUCUGGUGAGUCAAAAACACUAUAAAUGAAUGAGGAUGGUAUGUUAAAUCGAGAAUGGGAUUUAUUUUUAUUCUCAAUGUUAGCUUUGUCCCUUUUCAUCCUGAAAUUUUCACUCUCAACUAUAUUUGGGGUGCUGGUCACUUUUGCCCACUUGUUUUCAUCAACAGAGAAUAAUAAUGUGAGUCUGAGAUUGAGUUUUGAUUUAAAAAAAAUGCUUUUGACACAUGUGAAAAUACACUUGUUAGAUAGCAGCAGUUGGACCCCACUGAGUGGCCUGUGUCCACUCUGAAAGUUCUAUGAUGGCCCGUCACCAUGGUAAUGUGGUGAUGUGUAUCGUCCCAACAUUUCAACUGUCACUCUGAGCUAAGAGGUUCAUACUUCACAGCAGCCCUGCCGUUCUCCCCUUUGUUCAUUCAUCCAGAGUUCUUCAACAUGGGUAGCAUGAAUUCCUGCUGGGCAGUCUUCCAGAGAACAGAUACGAGAGAACACAUCCACACCACCUUCAUCAGAUUUGGAGAAUCCUGACACCAAAUACAGCAAGAGAUACUACAGGGAAGGAGAAUUAAAGCCACACUUUUCUGAA